GGAGAGAUGAUAAAUCCAUAACUACUAUGAGGAACAUUGGCCAUAAGUCAAAUAUAUAGUGUUCAUGUUUGUCACUUGUCCAAAGUCUAAACUCAAUAUAGACUUAUAUGCUUGACUGCUUGUGCUGAUUUUUCAUGAUUAAUCUUACACUGCUCUGCGUUGGAAGUUGGAACAAGAGAUCGACAUGGAAGUCAUGGUAUUGAUGCAGGGUUUAGUUUUCGCACUCUCGAUUUUAGGUUUUGAUUUCGUCAAAAAUGGGCGAUUCUUCUAAACUCAGAGACUCCCACUAUCUCUUUUGGAUCUAUUGUGCUUUUUUUGAGCCAAAAAACUCAGGUUCCUGUGAAGAGCACUGUGAUUGUUCGUAUUGUUGCUGCACUGCCGGCGUUCUUUAUGGAUGUUUCAGAAUUGGAGUCUGGUAAUCUGGUUACAACCCGAUGAUUUAUUGAUUUCACAUGUGCCAAUCUCAUGCAAUGAAUGAUUGGCAGGCAAAACUACAAUCCAUGAAAUCAACACUUAAUUGUUUGCUAAUAAGGAAGAAUCUUCCCCCAGUUGGUAGUUGCAAGCCAAGUUGCAAGCUAAUGGAACCUCCUAGAGGUAAUGCCCGUGUUCCCCUAAGCUGAACCACCACAGUCCACAUGGAGUUUUCUCUUUUGCUGCGGCACCGCUUCUACAACCUAGAUACUACUCCGUCUCAUCCUCCCCUCGGUGGUAUAAUCUUUUUUUUUUCCUCAGUGAACGUGAAUUGUGUGAUUUAAUCUCUCCAUUAACCAGCUCAUCUAGGCAUAGAGGAAUUAGUUUCAUUUUUAGUUUGUUUUCCUCAUUCUUUUUAUUUGGUUACGGGUAUUAAUCGCAAUGUCUUACGUGCCAGAAUAGUGAAAGUAGCUUUGACGGACCUCAAGGAAAAAGACGAGAGAGAUCGUCAUCUUAGGUAGAAAUGAGGCGCUGCCGUGCAACAAAGGAAGGGAAUACAGAAUAGAAACAUAAGCGAGCAUGCCUAAUGUUUAAAGUUGAUACUUUGAUUUGGAAACAAUAAGAGGUAGUUUGGUUCACCAAUAAAGAAGGAGAGAAUCAAGAAAGGAAUGAGUGGGAAACUUUGAAAACAUGUUUGAUACUUUAAUUUGGAUCGUAAGUAGAAUUCACAAUUCGGAUUUGAGUAAGCAAAAACAAUUAAAUUUUAUUGGACCAUUUGGGCUUAAUAUCAA